AUAUAUAUAUAUUUUUUUUUCUCUGCAUGUUGUAUACCAGAUGAAUUGAGCAAGUCCAAGAGAAAAAUGUAACAUAUCCAUUCAUAAAAUGUAGACAAGCUAACUGUUCAUGAAAAGAACAUGUAAAAGAAAACAGUAAUUAGUUUACCUCUGUUAACAUCCUUUCAGAUCUGCAAUUGUCAUCUAUUUGUAUUUGCCUCUUUGUUUGCUGAUCAUUUCUCUCUUUUGUAUUGAAAAUCUUAACUGCUACCACAGG
rnacentral:misc_RNA from 1 species